rnacentral:rRNA from 1 species
UACCAGCACCCCGAGUGGUCGGGACAAUUAUUGGGCCUAAAGCAUCCGUAGCCGGUUUUACAAGUCCCCCGUUAAAUCCAACUGCUUAACAGAUGGGCCGCGGAGGAUACUAUAAGACUAGGAGGCAGGAGAGGCAAGCGGUACUCAGUGGGUAGGGGUAAAAUCCGUUGAUCCAUUGAAGACCACCAGUGGCGAAGGCGGCUUGCCAGAAUGCGCUCGACGGUGAGGGAUGAAAGCUGGGGGAGCAAACCGG